rnacentral:lncRNA from 10 species
GCGGCCGCGCGGGUGUGGGCCGAGAGAGGGAGGCGGCUCGGCUGGAGCGCGCCGUCCGCCCGACCCCCGCCGCCUCUCGGGCGCCUGCGCUCACGCUGCGGGGCCCAGCGCAUUGUGAGCCGGGUCGAGCUCCACGCUGGCAGCGUCUGAGAGCUGUCCUGGGCCGGAGGUGGCGCGAACCCUGUGCGGCCUAGAGUGGGCCUGGGGAAGCCAGCUGCCAUGUUCUGAGUACUCUCUGGAAGGGCCUGCAUGGCAAGGAACUGAUGUUUCCAGCCAGCAGCCAGCAAGAACUGCAAGCCUUGUGAAUGAGCUUGGAAGCAGAUCCUCCCCUCACUCAAGCCAUGAUAUGACAACAGCCUGAGACCCAGAGGACACAAACCACAGUCAAAAAAGGUCUUCCUGAGUUCUGAAGGUCAAGCAAUUAGAAUUUUCUCAGGCUUGUAGAAGAGUGGAAUUCUGGAAACCAGUCUUCGCCUCAGGGGAGCAUCUGUUGGAAGUUCUUAGGGAUGCUCAGGCAUAUGGCCUCAGAAACAUGGGCUAUUGAGACAG